rnacentral:rRNA from 1 species
GAUGAGAGUUUGAUCCUGGCUCAGGAUGAACGCUGGCGGUCUGCUUAACACAUGCAAGUCGAACGCAACCUUCGGGUUGAGUGGCGGACGGGUGAGUAACGCGUGAGAAUCUGCCUUGGGGUCGGGGACAACCACUGGAAACGGUGGCUAAUACCGGAUACGCCUUCGGGUAAAAGAUUUAUUGCCCUAAGAGGAGCUCGCGUCUGAUUAGCUAGUUGGUGAGGUAAGAGCUCACCAAGGCAGCGAUCAGUAGCUGGUCUGAGAGGACGAUCAGCCACACUGGGACUGAGACACGGCCCAGACUCCUACGGGAGGCAGCAGUGGGGAAUUUUCCGCAAUGGGCGAAAGCCUGACGGAGCAAGACCGCGUGAGGGAGGAAGGCUCUUGGGUUGUAAACCUCUUUUCUCAGGGAAGAAGCUCUGACGGUACCUGAGGAAUCAGCCUCGGCUAACUCCGUGCCAGCAGCCGCGGUAAUACGGAGGAGGCAAGCGUUAUCCGGAAUUAUUGGGCGUAAAGCGUCCGCAGGUGGCGAUUCAAGUCUGCUGUCAAAGCACGGGGCUUAACUCCGUAAAGGCAGUGGAACUGAAUAGCUAGAGUGCCGUAGGGGUAGAGGGAAUUCCCGGUGUAGCGGUGAAAUGCGUAGAGAUCGGGAAGAACAUCGGUGGCGAAAGCGCUCUACUGGACGGCAACUGACACUCAGGGACGAAAGCUAGGGGAGCG